UACAGAGGUGGCAAGCGUUGUUCGGAAUUACUGGGCGUAAAGGGCGCGUAGGCGGCCCGUCAAGUCCCGUGUGAAAGCCCCCGGCUCAACCGGGGAACGGCGCGGGAAACUAGCAGGCUUGAGUUCGGGAGAGGGAAGCGGAAUUCCGGGUGUAGCGGUGAAAUGCGCAGAUAUGUGGAGGAACACCGAUGGCGAAGGCAGCCCCCUGGGACGGUACUGACGCUGAGACGCGAAAGCGUGGGGAGCGAACAGG
rnacentral:rRNA from 1 species